AUGUUUACUGUGGGCUUAGACGUUGAUACGCGUGCCUACUUCACCGCAGCUACCAUGAUCAUAGCUGUGCCCACAGGAAUCAAAAUCUUUAGUUGGAUCGCUACCAUGUGGGGAGGUUCGAUACAAUACAAAACACCCAUGUUAUUUGCUGUAGGGUUCAUCUUUUUGUUCACCAUAGGAGGGCUCACUGGAAUAGUUCUAGCAAACUCUGGGCUAGACAUUGCUCUAGAUGAUACUUAUUAUGUGGUUGCACAUUUCCAUUAUGUACUUUCUAUGGGAGCCGUUUUUGCUUUAUUGCUGGAUUUUACUAUUGGGUGGGUAAAAUCUUUGGUCGGACAUAUCCUGAAACUUUAG
rnacentral:rRNA from 1 species